rnacentral:rRNA from 1 species
GAUGAACGCUAGCUACAGGCUUAACACAUGCAAGUCGAGGGGUAACGAGAGGAAAGCUUGCUUUCCUUGUCGACGACCGGCGCACGGGUGAGUAACGCGUAUCCAACCUGCCCCCAACUAAGGAAUAACCUUGCGAAAGUAAGACUAAUACCUUAUAAUUUCCUCAGAUGUCAUCUGACGAGGAAUAAAGAUUUAUCGGUUGUGGAUGGGGUGGCGUCUGAUUAGCUUGUUGGCUGGGUAACGGCCCACCAAGGCAACGAUCAGUUGGGGUUCUGAGAGGAAGGUCCCCCACAUUGGAACUGAGACACGGUCCAAACUCCUACGGGAGGCAGCAGUGAGGAAUAUUGGUCAGUGGGCGAAAGCCUGAACCAGCCAAGUAGCGUGCAGGAUGACGGCCCUAUGGGUUGUAAACUGCUUUUAUACAGGAAUAAAGUUAGCCACGUGUGGUUAUUUGUAGGUACUGUAUGAAUAAGGACCGGCUAAUUCCGUGCCAGCCGCCGCAGUAA